rnacentral:rRNA from 1 species
UGCUUAACACAUGCAAGUCGAACGGUGAACACGGAGCUUGCUCUGUGGGAUCAGUGGCGAACGGGUGAGUAACACGUGAGCAACCUGCCCCUGACUCUGGGAUAAGCGCUGGAAACGGCGUCUAAUACUGGAUAUGUGACGUGACCGCAUGGUCUGCGUCUGGAAAGAAUUUCGGUUGGGGAUGGGCUCGCGGCCUAUCAGCUUGUUGGUGAGGUAAUGGCUCACCAAGGCGUCGACGGGUAGCCGGCCUGAGAGGGUGACCGGCCACACUGGGACUGAGACACGGCCCAGACUCCUACGGGAGGCAGCAGUGGGGAAUAUUGCACAAUGGGCGCAAGCCUGAUGCAGCAACGCCGCGUGAGGGACGACGGCCUUCGGGUUGUAAACCUCUUUUAGCAGGGAAGAAGCGAAAGUGACGGUACCUGCAGAAAAAGCGCCGGCUAACUACGUGCCAGCAGCCGCGGUAAUACGUAGGGCGCAAGCGUUAUCCGGAAUUAUUGGGCGUAAAGAGCUCGUAGGCGGUUUGUCGCGUCUGCUGUGAAAUCCGGAGGCUCAACCUCCGGCCUGCAGUGGGUACGGGCAGACUAGAGUGCGGUAGGGGAGAUUGGAAUUCCUGGUGUAGCGGUGGAAUGCGCAGAUAUCAGGAGGAACACCGAUGGCGAAGGCAGAUCUCUGGGCCGUAACUGACGCUGAGGAGCGAAAGGGUGGGGAGCAAACAGGCUUAGAUACCCUGGUAGUCCACCCCGUAAACGUUGGGAACUAGUUGUGGGGUCCAUUCCACGGAUUCCGUGACGCAGCUAACGCAUUAAGUUCCCCGCCUGGGGAGUACGGCCGCAAGGCUAAAACUCAAAGGAAUUGAC